GCCGGGCGUGGUGGUGCACGCCUGUAAUCCCAGCUACUUAGGAGACUGAGGCAGGGGAAUCGCUUGAACCUGGGAGGUGGAGGUUGUAGUGAGCUGAUGUCAUGCCACUGUACUCUAUCCAGCCUGGGUGACACAGCGAAACCCUGUCUCAA
ensembl:misc_RNA Metazoa_SRP Metazoan signal recognition particle RNA